rnacentral:rRNA from 1 species
GACGAACGCUGGCGGCGUGCUUAACACAUGCAAGUCGAACGGAAAGGCCCUGCUUUUGUGGGGUGCUCGAGUGGCGAACGGGUGAGUAACACGUGAGUAACCUGCCCUUGACUUUGGGAUAACUUCAGGAAACUGGGGCUAAUACCGGAUAGGAGCUCCUGCUGCAUGGUGGGGGUUGGAAAGUUUCGGUGGUUGGGGAUGGACUCGCGGCUUAUCAGCUUGUUGGUGGGGUAGUGGCUUACCAAGGCUUUGACGGGUAGCCGGCCUGAGAGGGUGACCGGCCACAUUGGGACUGAGAUACGGCCCAGACUCCUACGGGAGGCAGCAGUGGGGAAUAUUGCACAAUGGGCGGAAGCCUAAUGCAGCAACGCCGCGUGCGGGAUGACUGCUUUCGGGGUGUAAACCGCUUUCGCCUGUGACGAAACGUGAGUGACGGUAAUGGGUUAAGAAGCACCGGCUAACUACGUG